ensembl:lncRNA
AGUGGGCGUGUACCUCUCCAGGUGCUAAGUGGUGUUUAGUGGGCGUGUACCUCUCCAGGUGCUAAGUGGUGUUUAGUGGGCGUGUACAGGUGCUAAGUGGUGUUUAGUGGGCGUGUACCUCUCCAGGUGCUAAGUGGUGUUUAGUGGGCGUAUAUAACUCCAGGUGCUAAGUGGUGUUUAGUGGGCGUGUACCUCUCCAGGUGCUAAGUGGUGUUUAGUGGGCGUAUAUAACUCCAGGUGCUAAGUGGUGUUUAGUGGGCGUGUACCUCUCCAGGUGCUAAGUGGUGUUUAGUGGGCGUGUACCUCUCCAGGUGCAUAUUGUCACUUCUCAGCACGUUCCUGCCGCGUCACAGAG